CCUACGGGAGGCUGCAGUGAGGAAUAUUGGUCAAUGGCCGCAGGGCUGAACCAGCCAAGUCGCGUGAGGGAUGACGGUCCUAUGGAUUGUAAACCUCUUUUGUCAGGGAGCAAAGGGCGCCACGUGUGGCGUUUUGCGAGUACCUGAAGAAAAAGCAUCGGCUAACUCCGUGCCAGCAGCCGCGGUAAUACGGAGGAUGCGAGCGUUAUCCGGAUUUAUUGGGUUUAAAGGGUGCGUAGGCGGACGCGUAAGUCAGCGGUAAAAUUGCGGGGCUCAACCUCGACGAGCCGUUGAAACUGGGUGCCUUGAGUGGGCGAGAAGUACGCGGAAUGCGUGGUGUAGCGGUGACAUGCAUAGAUAUCACGCAGAACUCCGAUUGCGAAGGCAGCGUACCGGCGCCCAACUGACGCUGAGGCACGAAGGCGUGGGUAUCGAACAGGAUUAGAUACCCCUGUAGUC
rnacentral:rRNA from 1 species